rnacentral:rRNA from 1 species
UACGGGGGGGGCAAGCGUUGUUCGGAAUUACUGGGCGUAAAGGGCGCGUAGGCGGCCAGCACAAGUCAGUUAUGAAAUCUCCGAGCUUAACUCGGAAAGGUCAACUGAUACUGUGCGGCUAGAGUGCGGAAGGGGCAACUGGAAUUCCUGGUGUAGCGGUGAAAUGCGCAGAUAUCAGGAGGAACACCGGUGGCGAAGGCGGGUCUCUGGGCCGAUACUGACGCUGAGGAGCGAAAGCGUGGGGAGCGAACAGG